UGUCAAAUAUUUGGCUUUUCAAUCGUCCAGCAAAGCAGAAAAGUGUCGUCGUCGUCACUUGCAUUCACAUUCGGGCAUCAUCAAACGCGAUCCUUUUUUCUGUUCCCGUAGUUCGUUGCAGCAAACAUCUUUUUCGGCCUGCGUGAAGAUACGUGCACUCCGUUUGCUUCGAGAACCCUACUACGGCCAGCUAGAGUGUUACCGUUUUUGUUUUGCGUUGUUUUGGUUCCGAAGGCAUCUAGUACUGGGGCCAGUUGGAGCUAGGUAGCCGAACAGCUCGAAGGAGAAAAUAAGACUUUGCUGAACAAAUUGCAGCACAAAGCGGCCUUCCGGUUAGCACAAUUUGCUUUUUUCCUUCUCAAUUCGCACAGUUAAUCAUCCCCUCGGCA